GAUGAAGAACGCAGCGAAAUGCGAUACGUAAUGCGAAUUGCAGAAUUCAGUGAAUCAUCGAAUCUUUGAACGCAUAUUGCGCUCUCUGGUAUUCCGGAGAGCAUGCUUGUUUGAGUAUCAGUAAACACCUCAACUUCCAUAUCUUUUUUGAAAUGGGAGUUGGACUUGAGUGAUCCCAACGCUUUUCCUCACCGAAAAGUGGCGGGUUACUUGAAAUGCAGGUGCAGCUGGACUUUUCUCUGAGCUAUAAGCAUAUCUAUUUAGUCUGCCUAAAAAACAGAUUAUUACCUUUGCUGCAGCUAACAUAAAGGAGAUUAGUUCUUGUGCUGACUGAUGCAGGAUUCACAAAGACAGGCUUCGGCCGACUUUGUAAACUCGAUCUCAAAUCAAGUAAGACUACCCGCUGAACUUAAGCAUAUCAAUAAGCGGAGGA
rnacentral:misc_RNA from 1 species